rnacentral:rRNA from 1 species
AGAGUUUGAUCCUGGCUCAGGACGAACGCUGGCGGCGUGCCUAAUACAUGCAAGUAGAACGCUGAAGGAGGAGCUUGCUUCUCUGGAUGAGUUGCGAACGGGUGAGUAACGCGUAGGUAACCUGCCUGGUAGCGGGGGAUAACUAUUGGAAACGAUAGCUAAUACCGCAUAAGAGUAGAUGUUGCAUGACAUUUGCUUAAAAGGUGCACUUGCAUCACUACCAGAUGGACCUGCGUUGUAUUAGCUAGUUGGUGGGGUAACGGCUCACCAAGGCGACGAUACAUAGCCGACCUGAGAGGGUGAUCGGCCACACUGGGACUGAGACACGGCCCAGACUCCUACGGGAGGCAGCAGUAGGGAAUCUUCGGCAAUGGACGGAAGUCUGACCGAGCAACGCCGCGUGAGUGAAGAAGGUUUUCGGAUCGUAAAGCUCUGUUGUAAGAGAAGAACGAGUGUGAGAGUGGAAAGUUCACACUGUGACGGUAUCUUACCAGAAAGGGACGGCUAACUACGUGCCAGCAGCCGCGGUAAUACGUAGGUCCCGAGCGUUGUCCGGAUUUAUUGGGCGUAAAGCGAGCGCAGGCGGUUAGAUAAGUCUGAAGUUAAAGGCUGUGGCUUAACCAUAGUAGGCUUUGGAAACUGUUUAACUUGAGUGCAAGAGGGGAGAGUGGAAUUCCAUGUGUAGCGGUGAAAUGCGUAGAUAUAUGGAGGAACACCGGUGGCGAAAGCGGCUCUCUGGCUUGUAACUGACGCUGAGGCUCGAAAGCGUGGGGAGCAAACAGGAUUAGAUACCCUGGUAGUCCACGCUGUAAACGAUGAGUGCUAGGUGUUAGACCCUUUCCGGGGUUUAGUGCCGUAGCUAACGCAUUAAGCACUCCGCCUGGGGAGUACGACCGCAAGGUUGAAACUCAAAGGAAUUGACNAGACAGUCUUGGUUGAGCUGUCGAAGAGACAGAUCUAAGAGUUCAAAACCAGCUUUAUUAUUUGAAAAAGUGAGUGGUUUAAGAACAGUUUUUCCUGGAACAUUCAAGGCUGUAACAUCGUGUUUAUUUUUAGCGACAUCAAUGCCCACAUAAAGCAUGGGAGUACCUCCAGAUGUAGUAUUUCAAGUCUACUUGGUUAUCCACGAAUUUUUUGCCUUGUUACCUUAGACGAGAUAAAACGUCUAUGCGUUAUCAAACUCAUUACCAAUUGAAACAAAAAACUGUGGUUAGAGCCUUUCGGAAAUCGUCAAGCGAUUGGAGGGAAUAAACUAAUCCACAGUGGCUUAUUCCAAGUAUACCACUUGGGCUUUGGCAGUAGCUAACUGCGCUAAAUAUAAUAUAAGGAGAAAUAGAUGGAUUUAUGGUUUUCUGAAGU